AGAGUUUGAUCAUGGCUCAGGAUGAACGCUGGCGGCGUGCCUAACACAUGCAAGUCGAGCGGUAUAUAGUGGAAUGAAACUUCGGUCGAGUGAAGCUAUAGAGAGCGGCGGACGGGUGAGUAACGCGUAGGCAACCUGCCCCAUACAGAGGGAUAGCCUCGGGAAACCGGGAUUAAAACCUCAUAACGCGAGGAGUUCACAUGGACUACUCGCCAAAGAUUUAUCGGUAUGGGAUGGGCCUGCGUCUGAUUAGCUAGUUGGUGAGGUAACGGCUCACCAAGGCGACGAUCAGUAGCCGACCUGAGAGGGUAAUCGGCCACAUUGGAACUGAGACACGGUCCAAACUCCUACGGGAGGCAGCAGUGGGGAAUAUUGCACAAUGGGCGAAAGCCUGAUGCAGCAACGCCGCGUGAGCGAUGAAGGCCUUUGGGUCGUAAAGCUCUGUCCUUGGGGAAGAAACAAAUGACGGUACCCUUGGAGGAAGCCCCGGCUAACUACGUGCCAGCAGCCGCGGUAAUACGUAGGGGGCGAGCGUUAUCCGGAAUUAUUGGGCGUAAAGAGUGCGUAGGUGGCCAUGUAAGCGCGGGGUGAAAGGCAAUAGCUUAACUAUUGUAAGCCUUGCGAACUGUGUGGCUUGAGUGCAGGAGAGGAAAGUGGAAUUCCUAGUGUAGCGGUGAAAUGCGUAGAUAUUAGGAGGAACACCAGUGGCGAAGGCGACUUUCUGGACUGUAACUGACACUGAGGCACGAAAGCGUGGGGAGCAAACAGGAUUAGAUACCCUGGUAGUCCACGCCGUAAACGAUGAGCACUAGGUGUCGGGGUCGCAAGACUUCGGUGCCGCAGUUAACGCAUUAAGUGCUCCGCCUGGGGAGUACGCACGCAAGUGUGAAACUCAAAGGAAUUGACGG
rnacentral:rRNA from 1 species